CGACUGCAAGCGCCGCCACCUGAAGAGCCUGGUAGCCAAGGCAGCGGCAGGCUCAACCCAGAUCUCGCGAGACGGAGUAGGCCUCGCGAGAUUUGACCUCGUCCACGAGAGGCUGGUGGGUAUUAGUUCAGGGGGUUAUGGGAGGGCUCUGGCAUCCGGGAUGGAGGUCUGUCGCUUUCUGUGGCUGGCGUUGGAUCCAUCCUGGGUCUCCAGGCAGGGCUGCAGAGAGGGUAGAGCCGUUUCUUAGGCCAGAGUGGAGUGGGACAGGAGGUGCCGAGAAAGGACUGAGGUGGCUUGGGACAUGGAAGCACUGCAGCCUUCCAGCCCGGCAUCCAGCAUUGCAACCGCCGCGGCGGCCCAAGAGCUCCGACCCUUUCACGCGCGCGCAUGUGGAGGAAUGGCGGCAGCGAAACAAAACGACCCUCACUUACGUGGCCGCUGUCGCCGUGGCCAUGCUGGGGGCGUCCUACGCUGCCGUACCCCUUUAUCGGCUCUAUUGUCAGACUACUGGACUUGGAGGAUCAGCAGUUGCAGGUCAUGCCUCAGAUCAGAUUGAAAACAUGGUGCCUGUUAAGGAUCGAAUCAUUAAAAUUAGCUUUAAUGCAGAUGUGCAUGCAAGUCUCCAGUGGAACUUUAGACCUCAGCAAACAGAAAUAUAUGUGGUGCCAGGAGAGACUGCACUGGCGUUUUACAGAGCUAAGAAUCCUACUGACAAACCAGUAAUUGGAAUUUCUACAUACAAUGUCGUUCCAUUUGAAGCUGGACAGUAUUUCAAUAAAAUACAGGCUUCAAAGCUGCACAGUCUACCCUUUAGAGAGUUGGCACCUUUGAUGUGACUAGUGCGCUGAUCAUCCACUUUCUUCUAAAAUAAAGAGAAGAAAAUGGCCAGUAUUCAUCCUGUCCUCUUUCCCCAUUCCUUGAUAACUCUCUUGUCUUUACUGGGAGGCUGGAGAGCCACAGUCUAGUAGAAGAAAGGUCUGCGAGACUGAGAGACAUCGCCAUCGUUUUAACAAGGGGAAUCGCCAACAUAAAGGAUGCUUGUCUUCAGGAGUUGAUCCCUAUCUGGUAUGACUGUAGGGCUCGAUAUUCUUCCUUGUCUGUAGCCUGAAUGAAUAUGAAGUCUGGAUUCCUCUACCCUUAGUCUGUGGCAACCCCUAAAAUAUCAGGCUUUGUUUUGCAGCAGUCACAGAAGGACUGCUAUUGGUUUGAUGAGACCAACUUUCAAAGGGGGCAGUUUUGGUGGGAUCAUGAUCCCUGGAACCAGAAUGCAGUGAUACAAAAGUUAUGUGAACAGAGUGUGUGUGCUUUCUCUGAGGAAAAACCUCACUUGAUUGAUUUACCUACCUCCCCACCACCUGAGCUGGAUCCAGAACUACUUUCAGUGUCUCCAUGAGAUCUCCUGGGAGGCUGCCCGGACUGAACAUGACCCAGGGAAAGGAAAUCACUGUUAACACUCUCAGCUCCCCAGGACCUCCACUCCAGAUGGCUUUGCAUAGUGGCAAGCAAAGAAGACCACAAGUAUUCAAGCUGAGUUGUGGGAUUUGUGUUAUCAUUAAUCUCCAGAGUUCGGAAGCCCCUCAAACUCUGUGCAGAGACCCUAGGAUGUGGUGAACCAGGUCUUGGAAGGAGAGCUUGUUAGGGUGCCUCCUCUGGUAAUGGAAACUGCAUAUCAACUCAUGACCAAAAAGCAAAUGAUAUAUUACUGUAAUAGAACCUGGCCCCAGUAUUCCCUAGGAGAUCAGAAGAGAUGGUCUGAACAUGGGUCACUUACUACAAUUCUCCAAUUGGACUUACUUUGCAAGAAAUACGGUAAAUGGGAAGAAAUACCCUAUAUGCAAUAUUUUAUGGCCCUCUAUCAAAACCCUGUCCUGCAGAUGAAAUGCAGAAUAUGUAAAUUGGCCAAAGGGAACUAUAUUGCCAAUUCUAGAAGCCUCUGAAGAGGAAGCACCAGUCAUGUGGGGGCCUGUAGGGAAGGGAACAAGAAGAGUCCCUUUAUUUCCCUCUCCAAGAGAAGUGAGGCCCUCUAACUCUACUCGGUGCCUGGUACCUUGACCAAUACAGGGGCAUAGUCCACCUUCUUCCUUGGGAAUGGUGCUCUCAGCACCUCCAGGGGAAAGCAAGGGCCCGUUAUGUAUUUGCCGGGCCCUCCAAACUCUGCAGAGCCAGCAAUGGCUCCUGCUAUGGCAAUAGCAGCCCCCCCCCUCCCGCCGCUGUACUCUUCUUUGCCAGGGAGCACCACUCAUAGUGGGAAUGCAUAUAACCCUGUAGGGUGACUGUUCCCACACAGAGCAUGCCUGUUGGAGAAAGAGGUUUUGCUCGGGUCUAUGUUUUUUAAAACUGUUGACUUGUAUAACUGGAAAUCCCAUAGUAAGGGCUUAUGGGUGAGCCCACAAGAGUUCAUAACUCGCAUAUGGAGAAUAUUCUCCACACAUAACCCUACCUGGCCAGGUGUGCAGACCUUAACAGCAGCCCUGCUCACAGCAGAAGAUAAAUCUGCCACCAUGGCCAAAACUGAGGAGGAGGCAGACAAUAUAUGUGCUGAUAACCUGGUGACCUGUCCUGUUGAGGUGUCAGUCCCAAUAGCUAACCCAAACUGGGAACCCAAACUGGGACCCCAAUGAUGACAAGAAUCAAGAGUGGCUUCAUCAUUAUAGGAAUAUGCUUUUCAGAGGUAUGAGGGAAGCAAGCCAGCCCCUGGUCAAUUGGGGAAAUCUCAGAGAAACAGAACAAGGCCCUAGUGAAAAUCCAUCAGCAUUCCUAAAUUGAUGAUGAUAAUGCCUCCAGAAUUACACCCCUUGGGACCCAGAUGACCCAAAAGCCGAGUAGUACUUUAAUCCCACUUCAUCUCUCAGCCCCAGAUAUUCAGAGAAAACUCUAAAAAUUGGCAAUAAGUCCCCACACUCCCCCUUUCCAACUGGUAGACAUCUCCUUUAAGGUCUACAGUAAAGAGAUGUGGCAUCUGAUGAAAA